rnacentral:rRNA from 1 species
AGAUUGAACGCUAGCGGCAUGCCUAACACAUGCAAGUCGAACGGUAACAGGCCCUUCGGGUGCUGACGAGUGGCGGACGGGUGAGUAAUGCGUAGGAAUCUACCCACGAGUGGGGGAGUAGCCCGGACGAAAUACCGGAUUAAUUAACCGCCAUAAUGCCCUACCGGGGUAAAGGACGGGGAGGUCGUAAGAACCUCGCGCUGGUGGAUGAGCCUACGUCCGACUUAGUUAGUUGGUGGGGUAAAGGGACCGUACCC